UACGAAGGGGGCUAGCGUUGCUCGGAAUCACCGGGCGUAAAGCGCACGUAGGCGGAUUUGUUAAGUCAGGGGUGAAAUCCUGGAGCUCAACUCCAGAACUGCCUUUGAUACUGGCGAUCUCGAGUCCGGGAGAGGUGAGUGGAACUGCGAGUGUAGAGGUGAAAUUCGUAGAUAUUCGCAAGAACACCAGUGGCGAAGGCGGCUCACUGGCCCGGUACUGACGCUGAGGUGCGAAAGCGUGGGGAGCAAACAGGGAUUAAGAAACCC
rnacentral:rRNA from 1 species